rnacentral:misc_RNA from 1 species
AGGUAACUGUCGCUUUAGAGUCCACUCCUGCUGAUGAGACAUCUCCUGAUAUGGAAGGCGAGGGCUUGAUUUCGACGCAGCCUCUAGGUGAAACUACCCUGAAUGUUGAGAUGUCCAAGACUGUUGACAAGGUUCUGAAUCGGGCGAGGAAGCGGCCAUCAAAGUCCGCGCCAACAAAACCAGCAAAAAAGAAACUGUCUGAGAAGCCUGCCUGGGGCAAGCUACUUUCCCAGUGCUCCCAGUACCCUCACAAGGAAAUGCGUGGCACUCUUUUCACUGUUGGUCGAAAUCGUAGUUGCGAUUUAGUGCUCAAUGAUCCA